ACGAACGCUGGCGGCACGCUUAACACAUGCAAGUCGAACGAGAGAAGAGAAGCUUGCUUUUCUGAUCUAGUGGCGGACGGGUGAGUAACACGUGAGCAAUCUGCCUUUCAGAGGGGGAUACCGAUUGGAAUCGAUCGUUAAUACCGCAUAAUAUAAUUGAACCGCAUGAUUUGAUUAUCAAAGAUUUAUCGCUGAAAGAUGAGCUCGCGUCUGAUUAGCUAGUUGGUAAGGUAACGGCUUACCAAGGCGACGAUCAGUAGCCGGACUGAGAGGUUGAUCGGCCACAUUGGGACUGAGACACGGCCCAGACUCCUACGGGAGGCAGCAGUGGGGAAUAUUGCACAAUGGAGGAAACUCUGAUGCAGCGAUGCCGCGUGAGGGAAGAAGGUUUUAGGAUUGUAAACCUCUGUCUUCAGGGACGAAAAAAGACGGUACCUGAGGAGGAAGCUCCGGCUAACUACGUGCCAGCAGCCGCGGUAAUACGUAGGGAGCGAGCGUUGUCCGGAAUUACUGGGUGUAAAGGGAGCGUAGGCGGGAUCGCAAGUCAGAUGUGAAAACUAUGGGCUUAACCCAUAAACUGCAUUUGAAACUGUGGUUCUUGAGUGAAGUAGAGGUAAGCGGAAUUCCUAGUGUAGCGGUGAAAUGCGUAGAUAUUAGGAGGAACAUCAGUGGCGAAGGCGGCUUACUGGGCUUUAACUGACGCUGAGGCUCGAAAGCGUGGGGAGCAAACAGGAUUAGAUACCCUGGUAGUCCACGCCGUAAACGAUGAUUACUAGGUGUGGGGGGACUGACCCCUUCCGUGCCGCAGCAAACGCAAUAAGUAAUCCACCUGGGGAGUACGACCGCAAGGUUGAAACCCAAAGGAAUUGACGGGGGCCCGCACAAGCAGUGGAGUAUGUGGAUUAAUUCGAAGCAACGCGAAGAACCUUACCAGGUCUUGACAUCGUAUGCAUAGCUCAGAGAUGAGUGAAAUCUCUUCGGAGACAUAUAGACAGGUGGUGCAUGGUUGUCGUCAGCUCGUGUCGUGAGAUGUUGGGUUAAGUCCCGCAACGAGCGCAACCCUUACUGUUAGUUGCUACGCAAGAGCACUCUAGCAGGACUGCCGUUGACAAAACGGAGGAAGGUGGGGAUGACGUCAAAUCAUCAUGCCCCUUAUGACCUGGGCCUCACACGUACUACAAUGGCUGUUAACAGAGGGAUGCAAAGCCGCGAGGUGGAGCGAACCCCUAAAAGCAGUCUUAGUUCGGAUUGUAGGCUGCAACCCGCCUACAUGAAGUCGGAAUUGCUAGUAAUCGCAGAUCAGCAUGCUGCGGUGAAUACGUUCCCGGGCCUUGUACACACCGCCCGUCACGCCAUGGGAGUCGGUAACACCCGAAGCCUGUAGUCUAACCGCAAGGAGGACGCAGUCGAAGGUGGGAUUGAUGACUGGGGUG
rnacentral:rRNA from 1 species